rnacentral:rRNA from 1 species
AUGUUCAGGUCUUCAGUUCGUUCCAAUUGUCUCUGUUUGAUGCACCUCCUCUUCCCCCAANCUUCACUUUUAGAAUUUGUUUUGUUUACUGAUACUGUUCUUUGUGCUCACAAAAAAUGCAGGUGUUCUGUUGGAUUAGAAAGUUUAGGAAUUAACCAUUUGGAAGGUGAUCCACUGGUUUCUAUGUUUCCAAUCUAUACAGUACCUCUUGCUGCUCCCCUGAGCAAUUAUUUGACCAUUCACCAAUAUUAUACUACAUACUUUGUACUCCGGUCCAAUGUUAUCCCAUGUACAGAUUUGUUCUUUGUCUAA